GGCGAUUCUUCCCUGAGACAGAAUUUUACAAUCCGAAAACCUUCUUCAUUCACGCGGCGUUGCUCCUUCAGACUUUCUGCCAUUGCGGAAGAUUCCCCACUGCUGCCUCCCGUAG
rnacentral:rRNA from 1 species